rnacentral:lncRNA from 1 species
GGCACCGGGACCCCCAAGUGAGGGACCCCCGAGUGGGGGACCCCCAAGUGGGGGACCCCUAUGGACCAGGGAUCCCUAUGGGCCAGGGACUCCUGUGGCAAUGGGACCCCCAAGUGAGGGACCCCCGAGUGGGGGACCCCUGUGGGCCAGGGAUCCCUAUGGCAAUGGGACCCCCAAGUGAGGAACCCCCAAGUGGGGGACCCCCAAGUGAGGGACCCCCAAGUGAGGGAUCCCUAUGGGUCAGGGACCCCUAUGGCAAUGGGACCCCCAAGUGAGGGACCCCCGAGUGGGGGACCCCCAAGUAAGGGACCCCUAUGGGCCAGGAACCCCUAUGGCAAUGGGACCCCCAAGUGAGAGACCCCCAACUGAGAAACCCCUAUGGGCCAGCGACCCUUACGGUACCAGGACCCCCAACUCAGAGACCCCCAAGUGAGGGAUCCCUGUGGGUCAGGGAGCCCUAUAGACCGGGGACCCCCAGCACUGGGACCCCUAUGGACCAGGGACCCCCAAUAACAGGGAGCCCCAUGGACCAGGGACCCCAAACUUGGGGACCCCCAUGGACCCGAGACCCCAAACACAGAGAGCCCCAGUGCUGGGACCCCCAUGGACCAGGGACCCCAAAUGUGGGGCCCCCAUGGAACGAGACCCCCAAACGUGGGGACCCCCAUGGACCAGGGACCCCAAAUGUGGGGACCCCCAUGGACCAGGGACCCCAAAUGUGGGGCACCCACAGAACGAGACCCCCAAACGUGGGGACCCCCAUGGACCAGGGACCCCAAACAUGGGGACCCCCAUGGACCAGGGACCCCAAAUGUGGGUCCCCCAUGGAACGAGACCCCCAAACGUGGGGACCCCCGUGGACCACGACCCCAAACGCGGGCACCCCCUGACCCUGAAGCCUCGGGGCCCCACGAUGUGGGGCGCUGCGGGAUCGGAGACCCCC